rnacentral:rRNA from 1 species
UACGGAGGGUGCAAGCGUUAUCCGGAUUUACUGGGUUUAAAGGGUGCGUAGGUGGGUAGGUAAGUCAGCGGUGAAAUCUCCGAGCUUAACUCGGAAACUGCCAUUGAUACUAUCUAUCUUGAAUAUCCUGGAGGUGAGCGGAAUAUGUCAUGUAGCGGUGAAAUGCUUAGAUAUGACAUAGAACACCAAUUGCGAAGGCAGCUCACUACGGGAUUAUUGACACUGAGGCACGAAAGCGUGGGGAUCAAACAGG